rnacentral:lncRNA from 1 species
GCAGACGCUAGGGGAGGGAUGGGAGCAGCCACCUGGUACAGUGCCCAAGACACAGUUUACAGAACUUCAAUAUGAGUGGUGUCCCCUCACUGGGCAAUGCCCACCCUGUCGGCCUUGAGAGGUGGUGGGGGAGGAGCAGGAAUGAGAAGGUGGCGAUAUGGAGAGAGGGGGCCGAGUGGCAGGGGCCGAGCGCUGGGAGGGUAUGGGGGCAUUGGAGGGAGACAGUGGCCAGAGUGGCUGACCCUGCCCUGAAAUUCCUUCAGUAGGGCCGGGUCACCCAUUCCAGCCUGGAGCCGGCUGUGCUGCAGGGACCUGGGCUGGGGCUGGGGCAGCAGGUGACAGCCUGGCUCUGUCCUGAGAUCCUCUUGGCUGAGUGGGGCGGCUCCUUCAAAGAAGGGCCUCCUCCCUCCUCUGCCUCCUCCUUCCCUUCCUGGUCCAUUCGCCACCCCACCCUGCCCGAAGUUGGCUCCCUGCUCACUGAGGAGUGGGUGCCCCGUCCCCAGGGCUCCCUGGCUUGGGGGUACCCAGGCCUCUGCCUCCCUGCUGCUGCUGCUCUGGGGAACCACCAGGCCCCCAGCCAAGGCAGCCCCCCUCAGCUUCCCUCUCUCCUUCCUCACGCCUGCCCUGCUGGAAACACAAGGUGCUCAGCGAGGCCGCCUUCAACACUCAACACGGCCCCUUCCCCACCGGACUCCUAACCUGUGUUCUCAGCUCCCCUCUGCAGCUACGCUCUUGAAAGAGACUUCACCUUUUCCUCCCCCUUGAGCCCACUCCAACCUGGCUUGACCCCACCUUAGUCAGCUUGGGCUGCCGUAAGAAAACCGCCACAGACAGGUGGCUUCAACAAUGAACUUAAUUUCUCACAG